rnacentral:rRNA from 1 species
GAUGAACGCUGGCGGCGUGCCUAAUACAUGCAAGUCGAGCGAACGGACGAGAAGCUUGCUUCUCUGAUGUUAGCGGCGGACGGGUGAGUAACACGUGGAUAACCUACCUAUAAGACUGGGAUAACUUCGGGAAACCGUAGCUAAUACCGGAUAAUAUUUUGAACCGCAUGGUUCAAUAGUGAAAGACGGUCUUGCUGUCACUUAUAGAUGGAUCCGCGCUGCAUUAGCUAGUUGGUAAGGUAACGGCUUACCAAGGCAACGAUGCAUAGCCGACCUGAGAGGGUGAUCGGCCACACUGGAACUGAGACACGGUCCAGACUCCUACGGGAGGCAGCAGUAGGGAAUCUUCCGCAAUGGGCGAAAGCCUGACGGAGCAACGCCGCGUGAGUGAUGAAGGUCUUCGGAUCGUAAAACUCUGUUAUUAGGGAAGAACAAAUGUGUAAGUAACUAUGCACAUCUUGACGGUACCUAAUCAGAAAGCCACGGCUAACUACGUG